rnacentral:rRNA from 1 species
UACGUAGGGGGCAAGCGUUGUCCGGAUUCAUUGGGCGUAAAGAGCUCGUAGGCGGUUCGAUAAGUCGGGUGUGAAACCUCCAGGCUCAACCUGGAGACGCCACCCGAUACUGUCGUGACUAGAGUCCAGUAGGGGAGCGUGGAAUUCCUGGUGUAGCGGUGAAAUGCGCAGAUAUCAGGAGGGACACCAGCGGCGAAGGCGGCGCUCUGGGCUGGAACUGACGCUGAGGAGCGAAAGCGUGGGGAGCGAACAGG